rnacentral:rRNA from 1 species
GAUGAACGCUGGCGGCGUGCCUAAUACAUGCAAGUCGAGCGAACGGACGAGAAGCUUGCUUCUCUGAUGUUAGCGGCGGACGGGUGAGUAACACGUGGAUAACCUACCUAUAAGACUGGGAUAACUUCGGGAAACCGGAGCUAAUACCGGAUGAUCUUUUGAACCGCAUGGUUCAAAAGUGAAAGACGGUCUUGCUGUCACUUAUAGAUGGAUCCGCGCUGCAUUAGCUAGUUGGUAAGGUAACGGCUUACCAAGGCAACGAUGCAUAGCCGACCUGAGAGGGUGAUCGGCCACACUGGAACUGAGACACGGACCAGACUCCUACGGGAGGCAGCAGUAGGGAAUCUGCCGCAAUGGGCGAAAGCCUGACGGAGCAACGCCGCGUGAGUGAUGAAGGUCUUCGGAUCGUAAAACUCUGUUAUUAGGGAAGAACAGAUGUGUAAGUAACUGUGCACAUCUUGACGGUACCUAAUCAGAAAGCCACGGCUAACUACGUG